rnacentral:pre_miRNA from 1 species
UUAACUCAAAUCUGUAUAUUCUUGGAACGUUUGCCUACGUUUGCCGCUAGAGGCGCUGUUCAAACUGCACACAAAUUUGAGUUA